rnacentral:lncRNA from 1 species
GGCAAAUGGAAACAACUUUUAUUUUCCCCUGAAAUUAAGAUUUUGGAACUUGGACAACUGACAUGGUGCUCUAGGGAGGAGGAAAAAAAGCUAUGCUAGUUUAGAAUUAAUUCUGUCUUGCCAACAUAUCUAUGGGAGAGGGAAAAAAAACCUGAAAAUGGUGUGCUUUCCAAUUUACUAAGCUCAGUCCUUCUUCCACUUACAGGUCAGUGUUUUGUGAACCCACUGAAGAAUCUGUGCCUUUCAAGAAACUCCAGAAAAUUAAUUCUGACCCCCAUCCUGCUAAGCUGGGAUGAGUGUCUCCAGUCAACCAGCUUGGAUUAUAAAUGACCAAUGGAAACGAUGAGGCCCCAUUCCUGCAAGUAAGUCUUGAUCUCAUCUGACAAGAUACCAUUUUUGAUUAGCAAGUGAAACCUGUAGUCUGUGCCCUGUCUGAACAGAAUGGGAAUAUGGUUGAAAAAAUAUACCCAGUCAUAGUACUAGCAGAUAAUUUAUAAUCAAAGCAUAUUAUAAUUAUGGUUUAUAAAUGAGGUGUUUAUAACCAUUUACCUGUCAAUAGGUAAAU